UAGGGAAUCUUCCGCAAUGGGCGAAAGCCUGACGGAGCAACGCCGCGUGAGUGAUGAAGGUCUUCGGAUCGUAAAACUCUGUUAUUAGGGAAGAACAAAUGUGUAAGUAACUAUGCACGUCUUGACGGUACCUAAUCAGAAAGCCACGGCUAACUACGUGCCAGCAGCCGCGGUAAUACGUAGGUGGCAAGCGUUAUCCGGAAUUAUUGGGCGUAAAGCGCGCGUAGGCGGUUUUUUAAGUCUGAUGUGAAAGCCCACGGCUCAACCGUGGAGGGUCAUUGGAAACUGGAAAACUUGAGUGCAGAAGAGGAAAGUGGAAUUCCAUGUGUCGCGGUGAAAUGCGCAGAGAUAUGGAGGAACACCAGUGGCGAAGGCGACUUUCUGGUCUGUAACUGACGCUGAUGUGCGAAAGCGUGGGGCUCAAACAGG
rnacentral:rRNA from 1 species